rnacentral:rRNA from 1 species
GAGUUUGAUCUUGGCUCAGAUUGAACGCUGGCGGCAGGCCUAACACAUGCAAGUCGAGCGGAUGAAGGGAGCUUGCUCCUGGAUUCAGCGGCGGACGGGUGAGUAAUGCCUAGGAAUCUGCCUGGUAGUGGGGGAUAACGUCCGGAAACGGGCGCUAAUACCGCAUACGUCCUGAGGGAGAAAGUGGGGGAUCUUCGGACCUCACGCUAUCAGAUGAGCCUAGGUCGGAUUAGCUAGUUGGUGGGGUAAAGGCCUACCAAGGCGACGAUCCGUAACUGGUCUGAGAGGAUGAUCAGUCACACUGGAACUGAGACACGGUCCAGACUCCUACGGGAGGCAGCAGUGGGGAAUAUUGGACAAUGGGCGAAAAGCCUGAUCCAGCCAUGCCGCGUGUGUGAAGAAGGUCUUCGGAUUGUAAAGCACUUUAAGUUGGGAGGAAGGGCAGUAAGUUAAUACCUUGCUGUUUUGACGUUACCAACAGAAUAAGCA